UACGAAGGGGGCUAGCGUUGCUCGGAAUCACUGGGCGUAAAGCGCACGUAGGCGGAUUGCUAAGUCAGGGGUGAAAUCCUGGAGCUCAACUCCAGAACUGCCCUUGAUACUGGCGGUCUCGAGUCCGGGAGAGGUGAGUGGAACUGCGAGUGUAGAGGUGAAAAUUCGUAGAUAUUCGCAAGAACACCAGUGGCGAAGGCGGCUCACUGGCCCGGUACUGACGCUGAGGUGCGAAAGCGUGGGGAGCAAACA
rnacentral:rRNA from 1 species